UACGUAGGGUGCAUGCGUUAAUCGGAAUUACUGGGCGUAAAGCGUGCGCAGGCGGUUUGCUAAGACAGGUGUGAAAUCCCCGAGCUUAACUUGGGAAUUGCGCUUGUAACUGGCAAGCUAGAGUGUGGCAGAGGGGGGUGGAAUUCCACGUGUAGCGGUGAAAUGCGUAGAUAUGUGGAGGAACAUCAGUGGCGAAGGCGGCUUCCUGGCUUAAAACUGACACUGUGGCGCGAAAGCGUGGGUAGCAAACAGG
rnacentral:rRNA from 1 species